CUUCAUCCAAAUUGUUCACUGGAGAUGGGACUUCCAGCUCUUCCUCCAAGUAAAAAUGAAAAGUAAACGCUUCACAUCAAUUCAGGACACCGAGGUGGCCACCACAGAACAACUGAAGAUCCUCGCCAAGGUGGACUUGUAGAACUGCUUCAGAAAAUGUUCGACAGACAGUUCUGCAAAAACCAAAUCACGAGUUAGUCUUGCCAGGAAAAGGGACGUACCAGUUAACAGUCCAGCUGCCCACCACUCCGGAUGAAGUCCCAGAUUCUAAGGAGAAAAUUCCAACACGUUUUGUAAGUAAACAAAGGGAUCCAGGCAUCUGAGCAGAGGAGGUAAAGCAUUCA
rnacentral:lncRNA from 1 species